rnacentral:rRNA from 1 species
CGGCGAGUGAAGCGGCAACAGCUCAAAUUUGAAAUCUGGCUUCGGCCCGAGUUGUAAUUUGUAGAGGAUGCUUUUGGUGAGGUGCCUUCUGAGUUCCCUGGAACGGGACGCCAGAGAGGGUGAGAGCCCCGUAUAGUUGGACACCGAGCCUCUGUAAAGCUCCUUCGACGAGUCGAGUAGUUUGGGAAUGCUGCUCAAAAUGGGAGGUAUAUCUCUUCUAAAGCUAAAUACUGGCCAGAGACCGAUAGCGCACAAGUAGAGUGAUCGAAAGAUGAAAAGCACUUUGAAAAGAGGGUUAAAUAGUACGUGAAAUUGUUGAAAGGGAAGCGCUUGUGACCAGACUUGUGCCGGGCUGAUCAUCUAGUGUUCUCACUGGUGCACUCUGCCCGGCUCAGGCCAGCGUCGGUUCUCGCAGGGGGACAAAAGCUUCGGGAACGUAGCUCUCUUCGGGGAGUGUUAUAGCCCGUUGCUCAAUACCCUUGGGGGGACCGAGGUUCGCGCUCUGCAAGGACGCUGGCAUAAUGGUCAUCAGCGGCCCGUCUUGAAACACGGACCAAGGAGUCGAGGUUUUGCGCGAGUGUUUGGGUGUAAAACCCGCACGCGUAAUGAAAGUGAACGUAGGUGAGAGCUUCGGCGCAUCAUCGACCGAUCCUGAUGUAUUCGGAUGGAUUUGAGUAAGAGCGUA